rnacentral:rRNA from 1 species
AUACGAGGGGUGCAAGCGUUAAUCGGAAUUACUGGGCGUAAAGCGUACGUAGGCGGUUGGUUAAGUUAGAUGUGAAAGCCCCGGGCUUAACCUGGGAACUGCAUUUAAAACUGGCGAACUGGAGUUGAGUAGAGGGGAGUGGAAUUUCAGGUGUAGCGGUGAAAUGCGUAGAGAUCUGAAGGAACACCAGUGGCGAAGGCGACUCCCUGGACUCGAACUGACGCUGAGGUACGAAAGCGUGGGUAGCAAACGGGAUUAGAUACCCCAGUAGUCC